rnacentral:rRNA from 1 species
GACGAACGCUGGCGGCGUGCUUAACACAUGCAAGUCGAGCGAGUGGAUUCCCUUCGGGGAUGAAGCUAGCGGCGGACGGGUGAGUAACACGUGGGCAACCUGCCUUAUAGAGGGGGAUAGCCUUCCGAAAGGAAGAUUAAUACCGCAUAAUAUCAGAUUAUCGCAUGGUAGACUGAUCAAAGGAUCAAUCCGCCAUAAGAUGGGCCCGCGUCGCAUUAGCUAGUUGGUGAGGUAACGGAUCACCAAGGCGACGAUGCGUAGCCGAACUGAGAGGGUGAUCGGCAGCAUUGGGACUGAGACACGGCCCAGACUCCUACGGGAGGCAGCAGUGGGGAAUAUUGCACAAUGGGGGAAACCCUGAUGCAGCAACGCCGCGUGAGUGAUGAAGGCCUUCGGGUUGUAAAGCUCUUUGAUCAGGGACGAUAAUGACGGUACCUGAAGAACAAGCCACGGCUAACUACGUGCCAGCAGCCGCGGUAACAC